GUACCUUGGUUUCUGCUAUGAUAUUGAAGAACAAAUCAAGGACAUAAGGCUGAGAGAUACAAUGUGGCUGAUUUCAAACAGAAACGAUGCUCAGUACUUCAUUACCUGUUUUGUUGUUGUUCAGGUUUUGAAGUUCUCUAACAUCCAUCAGCCAUGCAUUCAUCAAAACAACCAUGUGAGAUGAAUCAUCUGCUGCUUCAAUUCCAGCAGUUCCAUCUCCAUGAAGAUGUCUCAAGUGUCACCCAUUCACUACAAGGAUCUAAUCUAUCACCAUCCACCAACAUCUGGCUGGCUCAUCCUUCCUUGUUCCCCAUUUAAGUAAGUGAUAACAUCAUUCCUCCAGUUGUUCACGUCAAAAGUUAGUCUUUCUUAAAUCCUUUCUUUCUCUCACUCAUUUCCAUUUUAUUUGCAAGACUUCAUUCAAAAUACACCCUAAAUUUAUCUAUAUCUUCUAUACAAUGACUGAGUUCAAGAUUUGAUUGUGGAAGAUGCUACCAAACAUUUCUCUCUGCUCCACUUUUGUCCCCUCCCACACUCAUCAUAGUUAUUUCUUUACAGAGGAGUAACAAUUUUCUUUUAAAAGAUACACUUGGCUUCUCAUUAGAUUCAUAAUAAUUAAUUACAAACUUCUGG
rnacentral:lncRNA from 9 species